rnacentral:lncRNA from 1 species
CCCAAAUGCAGAUGGUCAGCUCCAAAUUCACUCUUACAAACAUCAGAGCAAACAGCAACUAUACCACUCUAAAAGGUAAGUGUGGAAAGCCCUUAGUUCGUUAAACUCUUUAGCCACUAGGUGGCAAAAACAAAUCAACCAGCCAUACAAUGGUUUGCAUGUAAAAAGUUCCAGGUUCAAUCCCUGUUAUCUCUGGCUAAACAAAUGAGGAUGGGAAAUACCAUCUAAAUAACAGUUUGUCUCAAGACAUCCUUUUCCACUACAAAGCAAAAGAUCAGUUUUUUAAAACAAAAACAAAAACCCACACCUCUCCCAAAGUUCUUAAAAUGAGUAUCACUAUUCAAAUUUUCUUGCAGCUUACUUUGUUGUUGUUUUAUCCACCCAUCAUGAGCAGGUCCCAUGAUUUAAAAUUGAGAGUAAAAACAAAACAAAAAAACCAGAUUAAAAAUAGAUUCUAGUCACAGGCCCUGAAAACACACAUCUCAGGUGUCAAAAGUCAGGGUAUAGAACCAUAGAACUGUAGAGUUGGAAGGGAUCCUGAGGUUCAUCUAGUCCAACCCCCUGCAAUGCAAGAAUCCUGCCCAUAGCCUUCACUGGGUGGGCUGGAACAACCAAUCCUCUUUUUAGCAGCCAGGGGCACUGACUCAUUGCGCCACAGGGAGGUGUGGCUUCAGCAUUUGCUGAAAGCUGUAUAGUGAAGAAGCCAGGUGAUCCUUUGAAAGGAAGGAACCCUAUAACUUGGGGGCUGCCACAGAAAAUGCCCUCUCUCAGGACACCCAAACUUCUGAGGAAGGUUUAACUACCAAGAGGACCCCUCUACUGCUCUUAAUAUUUAGGAGGUUUCCUAGGGAGAAAUUCAAUUCUGUUUGCAUUUAAAGGCAAAUCUAGCAAUUUUGGAGUGUUCCAAAAAAUAUGUGAGCUGAAACAUAGCUAUAGGACAUCAGAAUCUACGUUUUUCUGAAUUUUGCAGUGCUACUUUCAAGCCAAGUAAGGUGUACCAAAAUUUGUGUGCUGGGGUAAGAUGUGCAUUAAAAAUGCACAUGUUAGUGGAAAAUAAACUGAUGCCAAAUUGAAUUUAAGUCAGAAACAAGCAACGUAGUAAGCCAAAACUGACAGAUUCACUCAUCUCUACCUUCUGCUGAGUGAUUGUCCUCCAAACUAUGACCAGAACACAUGGUCUGAAUGAAGUGGCUUUCUCAUUCUGGUUUGGAGGGCAAGGGCUGCUGCUAUUGAAUCCGAUGACAUCUAAAUAGAAAAUGGAGUGGGAAGCGGAAUUAGAAAACCAUAGAAUCUUAGAAUGGUGGAUCUGGAAGGGAUCCCCCCAAGGGUCAUCUAGUUCUACUCCCUGCAGUGCAGGAAUCCUGCCCACAGCUGUCCCUGGGUGGGCUCAAACCUCCAAGCUUCUGGUUAACAGCCAGACACACUGACCCAUUGAGAGAAGGAAGGAGAGGGGGUGCAAUCUGAUGGUUAAUUUAUGGUCCUCAGCAUCAUUUGGCAAAACACACUUUUCACCUACAUCUCAUGGUCUAGAAGAGGACCACUUGAAUUGGGCAACCGUGGCAUAAAUCAAGCCUAAUAUAUCAACGGCUAUUAGACAUGAUAACUAAAUGGAACCUCCACCUUCAGGAGCAACAUAGCUUGAAAUGCCAGCUGCGGGGCUGCAGACAGGGGUUGUUGAUUUCAUGCCCUGUCCCUGGGCUUUCCAGAAGCAUCAGGCCGGCCACGGUUGGAAACAAGACACUGGACUAAAUGGACCUUUAGUAUGAUCAAUCUAGCAGGGCUUUUUAUGUGCAAGAAACAUCAGCCUUAAUUUCAGCUGAAGCCAUAGUGGAAAUAAAUUGCUCGGAUUUAGCGUUGUGGAAAUUAUCACAUGCAAAUGGAACUUUCACAGUUGAGAUUUUGAGUGUUUGUGAAAUAGAAACAAUUUGACAUGCAAAUUUUUUUUGGGGGGGGAUAUUCAUUACACUUCUCAUUUAAAUCUAAAAGGAAGCAUAACACCUGAAUAUAUUUGAACAAUAAAUCAUUAGCUGCAUAAAUACGAUAUACCUAAGGAGGGGGAAAGACAGAAAAUCUCUUUCAAGCUUUUAAAAAUUGCCAUAACAUUCCAAUAUUCUAAAGUACAGCCUCCCAGAUUUCUCCCAGAUUAGCCUCCCUUUCAGAGUUUCCCUUGUUGUUCCCUUCUGAGAUAGGCUGCUGAAUACUCCCUUCAUCAUUCCUUGAGAUGUUUUCCAGCUUCUUUUCAGUGGACUGUGGGCAGGACUGUGCAUUCUCUGAACUAGAAAAGAAGACAGGCAGAUAGAAAGAAAGAAAGCAAGAGAAUUCCAUGUCAAGAAAGUAAUGUUAGAACUUGUCUGAUGUGAUCCACAGGAAAGCAGAACAAUGUUGAACACCACUCCUAAACACUGCCAUGCAGUAGGAAGACCCCAGGGGGUUCCAGGUGGUCACCCAGGGUUGUGUUGGCGUUGGGAAAACCAAGGCACACAUAUUUACACCUGGAGUCUUCAAGUGGAGGGGCUACAGAACAUGAUACCCCAAGAGUGUCUCUUAUUGCCCCUCUCACAGCUUCUGCAAGCUUGGGUCCAAACCAGCAGUCAGUCAUGGCUCCUGGGCUCUUGGUGCAGCCUCCUCCAGCCACAUGUCAAAACUGUACACACCUGGUUUAAUCACCGCAUAAGUCUUGUCUAAAGAGAGCGAUCGAUCACAUGAUGUACCAAGGCUAUCUUGUGAAUUCAGUGGCUGUGUCUUUCCCAAGUGUCAGUUGGCAUGUUCAGUCGGGCUUUGUCACUGUGGACUUGCUAGCCUCUCUUAGUAGUGACACACAGAGUAGUAAUGGAAAUUUCAUUGCAAUGCGAACCUCCAUUGCAAAAAAAUUUCUUCAGUGUAUGACGUAAUGAACAUCUUUAGCACUUAAAGGUGAUGUGCAAACCUGCAGGGUAUGAAUGAAUGCCAAGGAUUUCUGAAAAGGCUGGUUUUACUGCCAACAUUUUUUUAAAAAAAUCCUUGCAGUUUAUAUUAAUAAGGCUGGAUGUUAUUGCAUGUCAAAAGUUAUUGUGAUUUAUAAAGUAUUCCUCAUCUAGUGCAUAAUAAAAAUACUUGGCUCUCAAAUCCAAUAACUAACAGAUGAUAGUAGCUUUAUCUUCAAUAUUUAACAUGACCUGGAACUUUCUGUCAUAUCUGAUGACAUUCUGCUAUAAUAUUUUUUUUCUACUAGUAUUUUAGAUUGCUUGAACUACUACAGAACAAGGAGACAUCAGGAGGGAGGGAGGUAUAGAUUCUAUAUUAUUUUAUCUCAGGCCUUGAAAAUGUUGGCAGGUGCCAACAAUUAAUUAAAAAUACCGAUAAUAUUCCUUGUUCAGUGUCACUUGGCAUAUUCUUGUAUUUAGGAAGCCCCAGUAUUUAACAACAGCAUAACACACACACACACACACACACACACACACACAAUGCAAUAAGGAGUUUUACUUUGUAGAAAUUCUUAAAUGCCUUUAUGAACUACUAGUGGCCCACAAUACAUUUUCAGGUACCAGUAAUUCUUGUGACUAGGAAAUUAUGGGAGGCCUUUUGUAUGGCAGUGAACUGACACACACUAAUUUAAAACACCAGCAUGAACUCACGAGGUGGGGCUGGAUUGGGGCAAGCAAGUACCAUGCAUUUCCAAUGACCCACAAUGAUUAAAUUUUAAUAAAUUACUAACCUUCCUGACAGAGCACCAUCUGAUAUGUCUCAUUCAGUUCAAUGGGACUUACUCUCAGCUCAGAGUGCAUGGGAUUGCAAUUGAAAUGCACUAUAUAGCCAGGCCAUUGGUUGGUGUGCGCCUUUGUCCUCCUGGUGUUUACCUUUCUUUCUUCCACCACUUUAAAAAAUAUGUAUAUUACUGUUUUGCAAUAGCAAGUACAAACCAAACCAUACAACAACAAAAUAAAACAAACUGUGGAGUACUACAAUAUUGACUGAAGCACUUUAACUUAGGCCCAAAAAUGCACUAGCAACCAAUGAAACUAGUACAAUAUAGGUAUUGCAUUCGCCAACGUCAACUGCCCUGGAAAAAAUGGGACACCUCGUGAGAGUUAAGCAGCCAAAAUUUCAGGCUGUGCUUUCUUCGGUCAUGGUGCCCUAAAACACACAUUUUUGGGCACUGCACCAAAAAUGCACAUUUUCUGUGCCCAGAAAAAUCACUUUUUGAUGGGCUGCAAUCUCACACAGGUCAUAUGACUUGUGCAAGAAUGCCGCCCUGGAAGAUGGUGUCCCAGUUUUGGACCACUUCACGUUGGAAAGGAUGCUCCAACUGCCUGGCUUCCACCAACAUCCCAGCAUUUUGCACCAGUUGACCAUCUUCCAGACCAUCUCUAUAUCUUUAUGUUUACCCCACUUCUCCAUCAUAUUUAUUUUCUUUGGGGUGCUGGCUUCUAUAGGUGAUAACCAUAAAGGUGUUGUCCUUUCCAAUAAAUCUUGAUAUCUGCUCCAUACUCCAUAUAUUCUUCUUCUUCUUCUUAUGCAAUGAUUUAAAAAUUCUUUGUGUAUUUUUACCUUAUCAUAUCAUAAAUAGGCAUGCUACCCAUCAGCAAGGAGACUCUUAUGGGGGUAAAAAUAAUUCUUCUGUAUGUUAAGUUACAAGACCUUACAUCAUCUGACAGCAUUCCCUGGGCUGGCAAUAAAGUGUGUAAAAAAAAAGUGCGUAAAAAAGCAGGAGGAAGGAUUCACAGCUUCUAAACACAGGUCUGCCUCUCACGCCUGUGUGACAUCUCCACCCUUUGCCUGAAAGGGGACAAGAAGCAGAAAAGGGUGUCAGAAACUCAACACAUAGCAAGCAGAAAAACAGUUCUCCAUGCAUGACCCAUUUUUAUUAUUAUUAUUAUUAAUUUUCUUUAUUUCCCCCCACACACCUUUUCCCCAGACAGGGACUCCAAAGGCACUAAAAAGUCAUGAUGCCCUAGACUAGCAACUUGAAAGAACACACUGAAGACAAAUAUGCAUCCCAAACAGGAACCUGCUAAAGUUUUAACAAGUAUUGAGACAAGGAGUGCCAGCAGGACAGUAAACAGAGAGCUGCCAACAGUUCCCAUAACAACGUGAUUUCCAGUGUGGAUUUGUUUUGUGUACAGCUUGAUUUGAAGCACAGAAACAUUAUUUCAUGUGCUAAUGAUAAAGG